rnacentral:rRNA from 1 species
CCUACGGGGGGCAGCAGUAGGGAAUAUUGCUCAAUGGGGGAAACCCUGAAGCAGCAACGCCGCGUGGAGGAUGAAGGUUUUCGGAUUGUAAACUCCUUUUGUUAGAGAAGAUAAUGACGGUAUCUAACGAAUAAGCACCGGCUAACUCCGUGCCAGCAGCCGCGGUAAUACGGGGGGUGCAAGCGUUACUCGGAAUCACUGGGCGGAAAGAGCGCGUAGGCGGGAUAGCAAAGCAGAUGUGAAAUCCUAUGGCUUAACCAUAGAACUGCAUUUGAAACUGUUAUUCUAGAGUAUGGGAGAGGUAGGUGGAAUUCUUGGUGUAGGGGUAAAAUCCGUAGAGAUCAAGAGGAAUACUCAUUGCGAAGGCGACCUGCUAGAACAUAACUGACGCUGAUGCGCGAAAGCGUGGGGAGCAAACAGGAUUAGAUACCCUAGUAGUC